CUUUGAUACGGACUACCAGGGCUUUGUGAUGCGCUCUCGAAGAGUCGAGUUGUUUGGGAAUGCAGCUCAAAAUGGGUGGUAAAUUCCAUCUAAAGCUAAAUAUUGGCGAGAGACCGAUAGCGAACAAGUACCGUGAGGGAAAGAUGAAAAGAACUUUGGAAAGAGAGUUAAACAGUACGUGAAAUUGUUGAAAGGGAAACGCUUGAAGUCAGUCGCGUUGGCUGGGGAUCAACCUUGCUUUUUUGCAUGGCGUACUUCCUAGUCGAUGGGUCAGCAUCAGUUUUGAUUGUUGGAUAAAGGUCAGGGGAAUGUGGCAUCUUCGGAUGUGUUAUAGCCCUUGGUCGUAUACAGCAGUUGGGACUGAGGAACUCAGCACGCCGCAAGGCCGGGUACUUGUACCACGUACGUGCUUAGGAUGCUGGCAUAAUGGCUUUAAUCGACCCGUCU
rnacentral:rRNA from 1 species